GCCUUCGUGGUGUAGUGGUCAGCACGCUCGACGCGUAACCGAGAGGUCCGUGGUUCGAUUCCCGGCGAAGGGG
rnacentral:tRNA from 1 species